CAGCUCCUCUGCGGAGUAGCAGUGCGGGAGAUUCCCCCUGUGAUGCCACUUAUUGGAAGGAUCGAUGGCAUAGUCUCUGAAGAUGGGAUAAAUGUUGAAAAUGAGAAGGACAACAUCAUGUAAAGCUGAAAGUGGAUAUAGCCUCAUCCCAGCCUCUACAAGUCCUCUGAAAAAUGCAACUGAAGCUAGUGCUCAGACAGCAACUGCUGCCUUUUGACGGAACUCUUCCACUUUAUUGUAAGACACAGUUAUUCAUUCAUUAAAAAGUAGCUGGUUUUGAAAUCUGCACGGUGAACUGCGAGCAUCGAGAAAUUCAGACAUUUCGGAGAAAGCAUCAUUUCGCAUUCUAAAUCAAUAAUUGUACUAAUAAACCCUUUUCUUGGCGCUGGA